CCGUUUACACUAAAGGACACACCCCAAUUCCCCAAAAUCGAUCACUCCCUAGGAGGACCCCAGCAAAAUCACCAUGCCUCUACCUCUCAUUUCCAUAACCCAUCUUAUCAAACAAGCUAAUAAACCCAUUUUUCCAAUCAAAUCGAUACCAUUUUUCUCGUUAGUCCAUGACUCUAAUACGUAAAUCGAUGUCCCUAGCGACUUCAAAAGUGGAAAUUGUUGUCCCAAAACAUUUUCUAUACAAUUCCGCCACCUCCAAUCAUACGGACCUCCUUGUUCCUUAUUUAUGUUCCGUGGAUGGAGUCUAAUUGAUGCCGCAUUUGGAGUUCGAGUUAUGUGGCGCCGAUCGAGGUCCGUUCGUGAUUGAUAGUUCCUGUUGCUUGGCUGGUGUUUGUCAUGGAUUUUUGCCGUCGGAUUUAGUUGUUUGAUUGCGAGUAGAAUUAAUUAAAGGUGCAUUCAGGUUCACUUCUUGUAUGUAUUAUGAAUAAGAAAUUGUUUGUCUACUCUUAUAUGUAUUAUGAAUCAAAGCCAUAAAGGGGAGGCAUUUUAAGAUAUGCUAAUCAGAUGUAGUUUGGGGUUUAAUGGAUUUCUCUUUCUGAUUUUGGCUGAUGGUUAUUGUCACCCCAUGAGUUUCCUUUCGGCGAGUGUCUUAGUUAGAGUUUGAAUGAAUUAAAAUAUGCUUGAUUCCCUGGUUUAGAUUUGUCGUCAUGCUGAUUUCCUUAUGAAUAAUGUUGAAUGAGUUUUCUGUUUGGAAAUAUUGUAAAUGCUGACAGUGCUCGAAAGGUUAAUUCAAGUUCGUUGUGGUAGGCUCUUUAUCUUACUUGGUUCUUCUGUUUGUGGUAGAUUCCUUAUCUAACUUGGUUCUGUUGUUUGAGUUCUCUCCACGUCUUGACUCUUUAAUGUUAAUAUUAUGCUUCGUGUGAGUUGAAAAGUUAUUAUGAAGUUACAUAUAUGAAAAUCGUCAUUAGAGGUAAAUAUGAUUCUGAGUCGAUCUUAAGGACGGAACAAAGUUUGGUACUUCAUGUUUUUUUCAGAAAUGAGAUUUUCGGCAUGUUGGUUUGCUUCUAUCAACUGAUUUGAAUGGGUAACAAGUAGUGAAGAUCUUUCGAUUUGCUUAGAUCGUCAAGUGAAAGAUAAUUUUUCUGAUUGUUUAAGGACCUUGCUUGUCUUAAUGGUUAUUAGAUCAAAUUUUGAAAGCAUAAUAUAGCACUGCUAGUCAUGUUGUCCAGCAUGUCAUUCAUAUUCUAAACUUGUCACAUUGGUUGUCCUAAGAGUUAUUUUCGUUGUGCCUGACCAAAGAAUUCCUACUGAUCCUUUGAACCCCAUGCGCCAAAGUAAUAUUCUGGUGGUCGAAUUUGAUUAAACUUGUGCUCUUUCUUGUUAAAAUAUUCAAAAGCUGAUGAAAUGGUCGUGUAGGGAAUCUUUACUUUUCCCUUCAAUUUUGAAUGCUAAUGCCCAAGUGUUGCUUUGCUUUAUUUGACCGUAUUUAGAUGCUAAUUGGGUAAUGUAUUAUUGUAUGGCCUCAGUUGGUUAAUUUGUAAGUAUAAAAGUGAAGAAAUGUUUGUAUGACGUUGGUUCCAAGGGUUAAAUUUAUGGGCUUUAGGAUCUCACAUAUCAAAAAGGUUAGGAAAAUUGGGUUGGUUAGAAAUCUUUUAAUGGCUCCUCUUAAUGGAUUUGACUCACUUUUUCUUUAUUAUAUUUCAGGCUUUCCUUAGUUCUUAUCUACUGAAUGUUCUUCUGUUUGUAUGCUCCAUUGCUUGACUCUAUCGGAAGAAAUUAUUUGAAAGAUGAAUGCGGGUCGUGCGAGUGGGGAAAGGCCGAGCUUAGUAGUAAUUAAAUUGUUUACAUGUCCUGGGAAUCGAGCUUGGCCAAAUACAUAAAAAUGAAAAUUCAAGUGAAU
rnacentral:lncRNA from 1 species